rnacentral:tRNA from 1 species
GAGCAUAUAGCUCAGUGGUAGAGCACAUGCUUAGCAUGCACAGGGUCCUCGGUUCAAUCCCUAGUACCCCCA